AUCCAUUUCUCUCUGCUUCUGGACUGUGGAUAUACAGUGACAUCUCCCUCAUGCUCCUGCUGUGAAGGCUUUUCCAUCGCUAUGAACCAUGUGUAACCUUGAGCUAUGAACGAAGGUACAACAGCUCUGUGCUGGAGGCCUUUUUUCUGGGUGCGGCUCAUCCCCAAGCCAAUGCUGACGGAGGGCCAUCCUUCAGGGAGUUGGUGAACCAUGAUCAACCCUCAUGGUGGCCUAUGGAGCAGCUGGUCUGUGUUACACGUGCCCCACAACCGUAGGACUUGAAAGGGCAUACUCAAGACGCCAUGGGCUUCAGCAAAAGGAUUUGGAGGAAUCCAGCAGGAACUGACCUUGAAGACUCCACCCUGAGGAAUGGCUCCCGUAGUAUCUGAAGGAGCCAUGCAAGCUGCCAAAGGGGAAAAGCAAUGAAAAGUUUUACCCGGAUGUAAAGCCAAUAAACCACAACAAUGACCAGCCUGGAAGAUGCCCCCGGGGUGCACGGAUGGCACCCACAUCUAAUCGGAGUUUAGGGGACACUCAAAAGGAGGGAAAUCGUACUCUAAACCCAGCCAGUGACCAGUGGCUGAGGUCAUGGAUCUCAGAGAGGAACCCACUGCUUUCCCAAACCAGCAUAAUCUCUUAACUGCAUCCUUCUAACCACAGGUAAAUGUAGCUCCCAGCCCUUGCUUGUCAAAGAAGCUUCAUUGCACAGCCGGCAGAGACCAUUGCAGAAAUUUACAACUGGUCAAAAUGCAGAGAACAAAUGACCACGGGGUGCUGCACCCCAGCUGAUACAUCUACAAUACAACUCCUACACAAGGCUCAGAACACAUCCAGGAAGGAACAAUAUGGCUACCUAAAGGAGACCCGAACAAUGGCAACAACAGUUAGCACCCCAGUGUGGAUGCAAAGCUUGGCACAAAGCCACAGAUGAAGAACCACAGGCAAUUAGUGGCUCCCGAGAGACUUUGCUAGGGAUAGGUUCCGCCCCCCCCCCCAUAGGUUUUUCAGCUCCAUGUGAUCAGUCCUAAACACAUGUACAUACAAGCAACACUAAGUGGACUCAGUAGGUUGGAUUUAUACACACACCAUGCUGACUAGUUUUAUGUCAAGUUGACACAAGCCAGAGUCACUGAGAUGAGCCUCUAUUGAGAAAAUGCCUCUCUAUAAGAUCAGGCUAUAGGCAAGCCUGUAGGGCAUUUUCUAUUGUGAUUGAUGGGGGCAGGCCCCGCCCAUUGUGGGUAGUGUCAUCCCUGCACUGAUGGUCCUGGGUUCUAUAAGAAAGCAGGCUGAGAAAACUAUGGGGAGCAAGCAAGUAAGCAGCACCCCUCCAAGGCCUCUGCAUCAGCUCUGCCUCCAGGUUUGUGCCCUGCUUGAGUUCCUUCCCUCCCUGCUUUUGAUGAUGAAUUGUGGUGUGGAAUUCCAAGUGAAAUAAACCCUUUCUUCCCCAA
rnacentral:lncRNA from 1 species